CAGUAGCCGCGGUAAUACGGAGGGCGCGAGCGUUACCCGGAUUUACUGGGCGUAAAGGGCGUGUAGGCGGCCUGGGGCGUCCCAUGUGAAAGGCCACGGCUCAACCGUGGAGGAGCGUGGGAUACGCUCAGGCUAGAGGGUGGGAGAGGGUGGUGGAAUUCCCGGAGUAGCGGUGAAAUGCGCAGAUACCGGGAGGAACGCCGAUGGCGAAGACAGCCACCUGGUCCACUUCUGACGCUGAGGCGCGAAAGCGUGGGGAGCAAACCGGAUUAGAUACCCGCGUAGUCCCUGUCUCUUAUAC
rnacentral:rRNA from 1 species